GUAUUCGUGGCCAAGUGGUUAAGGCGAUGGACUUAACCAUCCAUUGGGGUUUCCCCACACAGGUUCGAAUUUUGCCAACUACG
rnacentral:tRNA from 1 species